rnacentral:misc_RNA from 1 species
AAGUCGUAACAAGGUUUCCGUAGGUGAACCUGCGGAAGGAUCAUUAAAGAGGGAUAAACAAUGCACAGUGCACGAGUAUGGUUACACGAGGAAAAUUUUAACAGAAUUAACAAGAAAAAAAGAACAACUUUUAGCAACGGAUCUCUAGGCUCUC